CGCACAUUGCGCCCGCCAGUAUUCUGGCGGGCAUGCCUGUUCGAGCGUCAUUUCAACCCUCAAGCCCCCAGGGGCUUGGUGUUGGGGACCGGCCCGCCACCGCGCGCGCCGCCCCCGAAAUGCAGUGGCGACCUCGCCGCAGCCUCCCCUGCGUAGUAGCACAACCUCGCACCGGAGCGCGGAGACGGUCACGCCGUAAAACGCCCAACUUUUUUAGAGUUGACCUCGGAUCAGGUAGGAAUACCCGCUGAACUUAA
rnacentral:misc_RNA from 1 species